rnacentral:rRNA from 1 species
UUCGGGUUGUAAAGCACYUUCAGGCGGGGAGGGAAGGACGUUAAGGUUAAUAACCUUUGGCGAUUGACGUUACCCGCAGAAGAAGCACCGGCUAACUCCGUGGCCAGCAGCCGCGGUAAUACGGAGGGUGCAAGCGUUAAUCGGAAUUACUGGGCGUAAAGCGCACGCACGGCGGUCUGUCAACUCGGAUGUGAAAUCCCCGGGCUCAACCUGGGAACUGCAUUCCAAACUGGCAGGCUAGAGUCUUGUAUAAGGGGGUAGAAUUCCAGGUGUAGCGGUGAAAUGCGUAKAGAUCUUGAGGAGGAAUACCGGUGGCGAAGGCGUGUCCACCCUGGACAAAGACUGACGCUCAGGUGCGAAAGCGUGGGGAGCAAACAKKAUUAGAUACCCUGGUAGUCCACGCCGUAAACGAUGUCGAUUUGGAGGUUGUGCCCUUGAGGCGUGGCUUCCGGAGCUAACGCGUUAAAUCGACCGCCUGGGGAGUACGGCCGCAAGGUUAAAACUCAAAUGAAUUGACGGGGGCCCGCACAAGCGGUGGAGCAUGUGGUUUAAUUCGAUGCAACGCGAAGAACCUUACCUGGUCUUGACAUCCACAGAACUUUCCAGAGAUGGAUUGGUGCCUUCGGGAACUGUGAGACAGGUGCUGCAUGGCUGUCGUCAGCUCGUGUUGUGAAAUGUUGGGUUAAGUCCCGCAACGAGCGCAACCCUUAUCCUUUGUUGCCAGCGGUCCGGCCGGGAACUCAAAGGAGACUGCCAGUGAUAAACUGGAGGAAGGUGGGGAUGACGUCAAGUCAUCAUGGCCCUUACGACCAGGGCUACACACGUGCUACAAUGGCAUAUACAAAGAGAAGCGACCUCGCGAGAGCAAGCGGACCUCAUAAAGUAUGUCGUAGUCCGGAUUGGAGUCUGCAACUCGACUCCAUGAAGUCGGAAUCGAUAGUAAUCGUCGAUCAGAAU